CAGCAGCCACGGGAAUACGUAGGUGGCAAGCGUUGUCCGGAAUUAUUGGGCGUAAAGGGCUCGCAGGCGGUUUCUUAAGUCUGAUGUGAAAGCCCCCGGCUCAACCGGGGAGGGUCAUUGGAAACUGGGAAACUUGAGUGCAGAAGAGGAGAGUGGAAUUCCACGUGUAGCGGUGAAAUGCGUAGAGAUGUGGAGGAACACCAGUGGCGAAGGCGGCUCUCUGGACUGUAACUGACGCUAAGGCGCGAAAGCGUGGGGAGCAAACAGGAUUAGAUACCCGAGUAGUCCCUGUCUCUUAUAC
rnacentral:rRNA from 1 species